GGAGAAGAGCAAUAAGUUCCUUCAGAGAAAUAAGUGCAUCGCUAUGGAUUUCCAUGGAAGCACAACUGCAAAACUGCUGUGUGUUGAAGUGAAGCAGCUUUGCCUGCUGCCUCCUUCCCUGCACUUCUUCAAGGUACCACAGCAGUGCUCAGGUGUUUGUCUGUCUGCUCAGUGGAACAGGAAUCUCAGAGGCAGAUACCAGGCAGAGGAAGCUGUGUGUCCCAGUGGAGCAGUUCCCAGAAAUGCUGUAGUGCCUUGCAGUGAGCCCUCCAUGGUAAAACGUAGGAUAGCUUACCUUGCUGGUUAG
rnacentral:lncRNA from 1 species